UACAGAGGUCUCGAGCGUUGUUCGGAUUCAUUGGGCGUAAAGGGCGCGUAGGCGGCGGGGUAAGUCUGGUGUGAAAUCUCGGAGCUCAACUCCGAAAUUGCACUGGAUACUGCUCUGCUAGAGGGCUGGAGAGGAGAUCGGAAUUCACGGUGUAGCAGUGAAAUGCGUAGAUAUCGUGAGGAACACCCGUGGCGAAGGCGGCUCUCUGGAACGCAACUGACGCUGAGACGCGAAAGCGUGGGGAGCAAACAGG
rnacentral:rRNA from 1 species